rnacentral:rRNA from 1 species
CGCCUGGGGAGUACGGCCGCAAGGUUAAAACUCAAAUGAAUUGACGGGGGCCCGCACAAGCGGUGGAGCAUGUGGUUUAAUUCGACGCAACGCGAAGAACCUUACCUGGCCUUGACAUCCAGAGGGCUUUCCAGAGAUGGAUUGGUGCCUUCGGGAACUCUGAGACAGGUGCUGCAUGGCCGUCGUCGGCUCGUGUCGUGAGAUGUUGGGUUAAGUCCCGUAACGAGCGCAACCCCUAUCCCUGGUUGCUAGCAGGUAAUGCUGAGAACUCCAGGGAGACUGCCGGUGACAAACCGGAGGAAGGUGGGGAUGACGUCAGGUCAUCAUGGCCCUUACGGCCAGGGCUACACACGUGCUACAAUGGCGCGUACAGAGGGCUGCCAACUCGCGAGAGUGAGCCAAUCCCUUAAAACGCGUCGUAGUCCGGAUCGGAGUCUGCAACUCGACUCCGUGAAGUCGGAAUCGCUAGUAAUCGCGAAUCAGAAUGUCGCGGUGAAUACGUUCCCGGGCCUUGUACACACCGCCCGUCACACCAUGGGAGUGGAUUGCACCAGAAGUAGUUAGUCUAACCUUCGGGAGGACGAUUACCACGGUGUGGUUCAUGACUGGGGUGAAGUCGUAACAAGGUAACCGUA